GUUGCAACAUGUUUCAAUUGUCUCAGGCUUUCAGCGUUCGCUCGUCAAUUACAGAACAAAGGAGGAUAUGAUUUUGCGUCGUAAGAGGUUUUUGCUGUUCGUUUCGAGCAGCGGCUGCGGUCUUGCGUCCCGUCAGGCCAUGAAAGAACAAAGGAGGAUAUCAUUUUGCGUCGUAAGGGUUAAGCUGUGUGAUCAAGCUUCACUUGUAUUCAUACCAUGACUGUUGUGCUGUAGGGUUUUGCAUGUUUCGAGCGGCGGCAGCAGUUUUGCGUCCCGUCAGACACAUUUCUCUCCAGCGCUGAGAGACAUCGCUUUCGCCGAAAUUCAGUGAAUUUUGAAGUCCACCGUUAUCGUGGGUCACCAGAAGAAUUCGGACUGCAACCCGUCAUUGACUGUCUAUUGUGCGACGCGACACUCUGUGGCAUAAAGCAUGCGUACGUGUGGAAUACUUCGCUACUGUGUGCGCGGGAUGUUUUGUAUGAUUGUGUCGACACUGGAUACCACUUUCAAGGUAUGCAUUU